GAUGAACGCUGGCGGCGUGCCUAAUACAUGCAAGUCGAGCGAACAGACGAGGAGCUUGCUCCUCUGACGUUAGCGGCGGACGGGUGAGUAACACGUGGAUAACCUACCUAUAAGACUGGGAUAACUUCGGGAAACCGGAGCUAAUACCGGAUAAUAUAUUGAACCGCAUGGUUCAAUAGUGAAAGACGGUUUUGCUGUCACUUAUAGAUGGAUCCGCGCCGCAUUAGCUAGUUGGUAAGGUAACGGCUUACCAAGGCAACGAUGCGUAGCCGACCUGAGAGGGGGGUCGGCCACACGGGAAGUGAGACACGGUCCAGACUCCUACGGGAGGCAGCAGAAGGGAAUCUUCCGCAAUGGGCGAAAGCCUGACGGAGCAACGCCGCGUGAGUGAUGAAGGUCUUCGGAUCGUAAAACUCUGUUAUUAGGGAAGAACAAAUGUGUAAGUAACUAUGCACGUCUUGACGGUACCUAAUCAGAAAGCCACGGCUAACUACGUG
rnacentral:rRNA from 1 species